GGUCGUGCAAGUUAUGCGACUGUAUCUAAAAUACAUUGUUUGUUUCACCAAUACGGCUCACACAACAACAGAGCAGUUCUUUGGUUUCAAUUGUGAAACUGACUACUUUCCGGGUGUGUGUCAUAACGCCAGGUAUUAUACCCAUCCGCAGUCUCAGCUCGCGGUCUGACACCAAGCACUAUACAAUCAGCUAUAAAUGUGCCAUGUAUUCAAGCACUAUACAUUUCCAGUACAUACAGCAUGAUGUUGUUAUCGUCUCGGGUGAUGCUUUGUGCGUUAAUGGCUCAGUGGGGAGGAUGCUGUAUUCAACUCGACAUCCAUCCGAAAACAAUUCAUCUUGAUUCAUCACGCCACGUGACCAUACGGUGUAGCCUCGAUCUGACACGCUCGAGAACGCAGAAGGUCUACUCUAUCAUGCUUAAAAAAGGAGGAUCUACCGUAGCUGUCUUAUUCCAAGAUAGAAUACACCAUAAUAUGACGAAUCGACACUAUGACGUCACCGGGUCCGUGACAACAAACUCUUCGUCAGUUGCUUUCUUCCAAAUAGUGCUGGAUAAUGUCACGUGUCUUGACAGGGGAGAUUACUCUUGCAUCAUGGCAGUAAAACGUUUGGGUAAAGCUACGAGUAUGGAACCGGUUACAUCUCGUCUGGAAAUCCAAGGUAAACCCAGUGAUAUUUCCGUCAGCCUUACACCGGACACAUCGACCUACACCGAAGGGGAAGUGGUGAGCAUCACCUGCUACAGGCACUGGUCCUCAAAGACAGCGUAUUGGUCGUGGACACUGCCAGACGGACACGAGUACACAGUAUUAACCAAUUGCACAUACAAUGUAUCUGAAUGUAUAUACCUGUGUAUCAGUUGGACACAAUACACUGUAACCAUGCACGACCCUGGAUCCCAGGUCAGAUGUGUGAGUCUGGGGGACUCGUGAAGAUCAUACGAUUAAACCUGUCAACCACUUCUGAAGGGAAUGGCCCGUCAGUGACUACAGCAAGUACUGUCCCGCCGACACACACGACUGCCUCCUCAAGGGACACACCACUCCGCCAGAAAGAGACGGAAGAAGGGUGCUGACAACAUAUGUUCUUGUGUCAGCGUUUGCUGUUGUUCUGAUAGUCACACUGAUCUGUCUCUU